rnacentral:rRNA from 1 species
UACGUAGGGGGCGAGCGUUGUCCGGAUUUAUUGGGCGUAAAGCGCACGCAGGCGGUCUCUUGCGUUUUGAGUGACAGGUGAUGGCUUAACCAUUGCAGGCCUUGAAAUACGGGGAGACUUGAGGACUUCAGAGGGAUGCGGAAUUCCAGGUGGAGCGGUGAAAUGCGUAGAGAUCUGGAAGAACACCGAAGGCGAAGGCAGCAUCCUGGGAAGUAUCUGACGCUGAGGUGCGAAAGCUAGGGGAGCGAACGG